AUUGAAUCAACUGGUCACUUUCAGGAACUUUCCCGUUUGCAAGGAGAGGGAGACAGGAGCUGAGGAUGGGGUGAUGGUGUCCUCUCCAGGAACGGGGGACCAGCCUGGCCGGUUCUGAAGCAGGACAGGGGCAGCAGUCUAGAGACCAGGUGAAUGCUGCAGGCGCCUCAUUUAACCCUCGCCAGGACCCUCCGAGUCUGAACUCCAUCAACGCAAUGAGAGGGCUGAUCACAUUCACCUCCUAUCCCCAGGGCCUCGUCCAGACCCUGGCUUCAGCAGGUGCUCAAUAACUGGGGUGAAAGUGGACUAGACGCACGGCUGAAUAUCUCAACGAACACCUCUCUAAAAAUUGCGUUUGAAAAAUCCCAUGCGGACUCAUGCAGGGCCAUUCUUACUGACAGAAACCUUCAAAAGGCUGGAAACCCUUGUAUUCGUUUUCCGCUGUCGUCGUAAUAAAUUACCACAAAUUUACAAGCUUAAAACCACACAAAUUCAUUCUCUCACAGUUCUGUAGGUCAGAAGUCCAGGUACAGCACGGCUCCCUGGCCGAAAUUACCAGGCUGCCUUCCUUUCUGAAGAUCCUGGGGCUGAAUCACCUCCAAGUUCAUCCACGUUGUUGGCCGAAUUCAGUUCUUUGCAGUGGCGGGGCCUCAGCCCAGGGCCCCUCUCAGCUUCUUAAGGCCACAUGCAUUCCUUGGUCUGUCGCUCUCCCCG
rnacentral:lncRNA from 1 species